UACGUAGGUGGCAAGCGUUGUCCGGAUUUACUGGGCGUAAAGAGCGCGCAGGCGGUCGUUCAAGUCGCGUGUGAAAGCCCCCGGCUCAACUGGGGAGGGUCACGCGAUACUGAUCGACUCGAAGGCAGGAGAGGGUAGUGGAAUUCCCGGUGUAGUGGUGAAAUGCGUAGAUAUCAAGAGGAACACCUGAGGUGAAGACGGGUUGCUGGGCUGACACUGACGCUGAGGCGCGAAAGCCAGGGGAGCAAACGGG
rnacentral:rRNA from 1 species